rnacentral:rRNA from 1 species
AUGGCCACUGCGUGGGAUGUUGUCGCUGCUGGCUGGGUCGUAACCGUAGCUGGAUGGUUGGCGACUCCCCUCAUCACCUUGCUCCUGCCCAAGAUCCUCUCCUACUUCGGCUUCGACGCGUCCAAGAAGCUCCAGGAGCUAAAGAUCCACACCAUCCCGGAGCUGAAGAAGACGCUGCAGGCCUUGGAUCAGGAGAGGAUGAUGCAGGGAGGAAAGAGGGUGAAAACCGAUUUGGACGCCCUCGACAUGAUGGCGGCCAUGCUGAGGCAUGCUCUCGAGGACGCCGAAGACAUCUUCGACGAUGCUCAGCACAGAGACUGGUCAUAUCAAGUGGUCGGCAUCAAAAAAUGCCAGGAGAGGAGCAUGAUGAGGGCAGUAAUUGAAGACGAUCUAAUGAGAUUGUCACAGGAAGAACUCAUACUAAAUGAAACAUUUUCUUUCACUGCGCUCCUUCAUUCCGACAUUAUAUACAAGGUACAUUCAGGGGAUGGAUCUACGAACAUUGCCGAAAAUAUCUACGAAAACUCCAGGAGCAAAUCAAAUGACAGUUUCAUCACAACAAGAGAUAACAAUACACUCGAAGCAGACUUGCAUCACGAAAUGCCAGCGAGUGAAGGUGGGGGAGGAGAAUCCGAUCCCUGGGACACAAAUCUGUUCUACAACAUGAAUCUGCAACAGCAGGAGCCUCAAGAUGUUGAUCCCAGCAGAGCAGCGGCUAACACGAACUCAAGCACAGGCAUGAAUGAAGAAGGAGAAAGAUAA